AGGGAUAUUCCCAGGUGCUAGAGGAAGAGGAAAGGAAGCAGGCUGAUUCAACAAAUCAUUUUUCAAAGUGAAUGCCUUGGUAGUCCAUUUGCCAAAUAAUCAAAAGAGAAAACAGCCAAUUUACAGAGUUUACCUAAUUUGCUAAAACCUUCUAAUAUUUUAAGAUCUCUCAAUAUACAUAGAUGUGUUCUCUGAGGACUUGCUGCUGUCAGUCUGCUGUUGUGCUAAGCACCGUACACAUUGCCUUCUCUUGGUAAGUUACAUGGCACUCACUAAAGCUCACAGAGGUUAAGUAACUUGGCCAGACUCACACAGUAAAUCAGUGGCAGAACUGAAGUUUAAAACCAACUUGUCUGAAUCCAGUAUCUGAUUUCUCAACAACUCUAUACAACCUGCUUUAUAAUAUCUACUGAUUUUUUUAUGUGCUAGACACUGUUCUAGAUUCUGCACAUGAAUUAUAUCAUUUAUUAUUUACAACUCUGAGUUAGCAGAGUCUUUUUCUAGAUGAGAAAACAGAUUCAGAGAAGUUAUACCGCAAGUCCUUUUGGGACUCAUCUGUUCGGAGCCCUCCAGUAGGUUCCCCUUCUACUAAGACAGUCAUCGUAAUGACCUACGGUGGCCAACCCAAUACCUCCCCAUGCUCAUGGCCCACUGCCCUUGGCUCUCCUCCCUUUCCACUCUCACUCAAGCUGACUAUUCUUUGAAUUCGCCUAGUGCACUCGUACAUAUCCCUCUGCCUAAGAUCUUCCUCCUUCAGGGUUCACUCACAUGUCACCUUAUUCCAAGAGGUCUGGGGUGGUGGUG